UACAGAGGUCUCAAGCGUUGUUCGGAUUCAUUGGGCGUAAAGGGUGCGUAGGCGGUGAGGUAAGUCAGGUGUGAAAUCCCGGGGCUCAACUCCGGAACUGCAUUUGAUACUGCCUUGCUAGAGUACUGGAGAGGAGAUUGGAAUUUACGGUGUAGCAGUGAAAUGCGUAGAUAUCGUAAGGAGGACCAGUGGCGAAGGCGAAUCUCUGGACAGUUACUGACGCUGAGGCACGAAGGCCAGGGGAGCAAACGGG
rnacentral:rRNA from 1 species